rnacentral:rRNA from 1 species
AGAGUUUGAUCCUGGCUCAGAUUGAACGCUGGCGGUAUGCUUAACACAUGCAAGUCGAACGGUAGGUACUUCGGUAUCGAGAGUGGCGGACGGGUGAGUAACGCGUAGGAAUCUGCCUGUUAGUGGGGGACAACGUGGGGAAACUCACGCUAAUACCGCAUACGCCCUACGGGGGAAAGCGGGGGAUCUUCGGACCUCGCGCUAUGAGAUGAGCCUGCGUUAGAUUAGCUAGUUGGUGGGGUAAAGGCCUACCAAGGCGACGAUCUAUAGCUGGUCUGAGAGGACGAUCAGCCACACUGGGACUGAGACACGGCCCAGACUCCUACGGGAGGCAGCAGUGGGGAAUAUUGGACAAUGGGCGAAAGCCUGAUCCAGCAAUACCGCGUGUGUGAAGAAGGCCUUAGGGUUGUAAAGCACUUUCAAUUGGGAGGAAAACCUACCGGUCAAUACCCGGUAGCUUGACAUUACCUUUAGAAGAAGCACCGGCUAACUCCGUGCCAGCAGCCGCGGUAAUACGGAGGGUGCGAGCGUUAAUCGGAAUUACUGGGCGUAAAGCGUGCGUAGGCGGUUCGUUAAGUCAGAUGUGAAAGCCCUGGGCUCAACCUGGGAACGGCAUUUGAAACUGGCGGACUAGAGUUUAGUAGAGGGGAGUGGAAUUUCAGGUGUAGCGGUGAAAUGCGUAGAUAUCUGAAGGAACACCAGUGGCGAAGGCGACUCCCUGGACUAGAACUGACGCUGAGGUACGAAAGCGUGGGUAGCAAACAGGAUUAGAUACCCUGGUAGUCC